rnacentral:lncRNA from 1 species
CAGCUACCUGUGAUUUUCUAAUGAUCCUGAAGACAUUGAUUAGCAUGCUCAGGUGUGUUUGAUUAGGGUUAGAGCUAAACUCUGCAGGAAAGUGGAUCUUGUGGGCCAGAUUUGAGGAUCCCUGCUCUAGGCCCAUUCACAGAAAGCCUUCUGCUUUUCCAUGUUAUCUGAUCUUGGGAAUUUCCUCACUAGUUUAAGAUCUUCGAAGAUACACAUGUGAUGCCUUUACUCACCUCCUGCAUCACCAGCACGUUUAUCUUGAAGAGGAAAGGUGGUUUAAACGAACCAGAUCACCGCACAUGUGGGCGAGAAGGUUCACUGUCCUCACUGGAAUCAGGCAGAUGCCAUCGCUCCGAGCCAUUCCGAGAUGGUAUGUGGGACAAAUGAGCAUCAGAUAUGACCUUCCACACAAGCAGCUGUUGUAGGUUCUUUGGAACUACAUCAUUGACCUUGGAGAAGAUGGUAUUACGCUAACCAGGGGGCUGAAACCGCAAUCCUCUCACUCUACAAACCUGUCUGGGCCUUCUGC